rnacentral:tRNA from 1 species
GGGAUUGUGGCUCAGUGGUAGAGUGCUCCCUUAGCACGGGCGGGGUCUGGGUUCGAUCCUCAGCACCA